rnacentral:lncRNA from 12 species
CUCCCGGUCAGCACUGGCCUGGGUGCUCCAGGGCGGCAGAGGUGCUGCUCUGCAGAGCUUAGGGGCACCCCGGUGGACUGUCCUGGCUCUCAGGUGCUCUCCCUGCCUCCGCCUCCCCUCACCCGCAGGCAAAAGGGUCCUCCCCACCUCUGCCCACCCCUGGGAGGAGCACAGGAUCCCGGCUGUUGCCCCUUCGGGUGCCCUGGGAUCCCAGCCCUGUGCCGCUGGACCUGCUCUGGGCCGCCUCUCCCGGGGAGAUCAGGGCUCAACCCCCUCAACCCAGAGCCCCCCCAGGGAUUGGGGCUCAGCCUCCUCACCCCCAGGGAUUGGGGCUCAGCCCCCCUCCACCCGGAGCCCCCCCCAGGGAUCGGGGCUCAGCCCCUCCACCCAGAGCUCUCCUUAGGGAUCAGGGCUCAGCCCCCAUCUAUCCAGAGCACUCCCCAGGGAUUGGGGCUCAGCCCCCUCCGCCGGAGCCCCCCUACUUUUCCCCGAGGCCCCGGGCCGCGCUCCAGCCCUUCACCGAGACCCCGCGGGGUGUGUGCGCUCCCCCCGGCGCCCUCCUCCCCUGGUGACCCCGGGACUGGAGGCGUCACCCCCUCCUGGGUCCCCCCAUCUCCCCGCUGUGCACUUUCCCUCCGGGAAGAAUCCGGCGGAUCGUUAAAGCCCCGGCAUCCGGGGGGCUCUCCCGCCCGAGGCUCCCCCCAGCCCGGCUCCUCGGCCCGCCCCCUCGAUGCUGUUUCAUUUCUCCUUCUCCGUCCCCGACCUCGUCAGAGGCGAAGGCCCUUCCCGCUGCAGCUCCCGGUUCUCUGCUCACCUCCCAGGUGGAGCUCGUGGGUGCUCAGGGGGGUGGAAGGUUGCCCCGGGAGCGGGUGGGGGGGCGUGAGGCCCCUGCUCCUCCGCCAGCCUGCCCCUAGAUCCACAAAUACUUCUGAAUUCUUAAUAAAACAUUUAGGUUUCUUGAGAAUGCAAAUAUCAAGGAAAAUGAGAAGUAUUGACCAGGAGCAUAUUUAUAUGUAUGUAUGUGUUUAUAUAUGUGAAAUUAUACAUUUAAAACAUCCAUGUAAAUUCAUAGUAAACUAA